CUGCUUCAGGACAUUGCUGGCUGGAUGCAGAGCAUGGCGGCCAUGACGGCGAUGGCAAAGCGCCCUAGCAGCAGCAGGAGCGGCAGGUACUGGAGCCGGCGCUAGAGAUGGAGGAUCUCCUCCAUGUCUUCGAUCUCCCCGUCAAGCUCACACGACAUGAUAAGGAGAAGGGCUUGGUGAUGCUCAGUAUCAUGUCUUUAAUUGGAUUAGGGUUAAUGAUUGUACUUCUAUUUAGGUCUCUUGUAUUCUAGAGAAGAAACUAUGGGUGCUUUGCUAAUCAACACAGUCUGGAACUUUCAAAUUGAAG